GCCCCGGGGAGGCCGCGCUGUGAGGCGCCAGGGCCUAGCGGCCGCCGCGGUCGCGCCGGAGGGGCACGGGGCCCGCGCUCGCCCGCCUUCCUCGCGCUCUGCGGCCCCGCCUCGGCUCGCGGCCUCAGCCGCCGGCCGCCAUGGCCUUCGCCGCCGGGGAGAGCGCGGGCUCGGGGCGCAGGCGGCCGCCGCGGCACCGGGCGCUGCGCGGGCUGCUGCUGCUCUGCCUGUGGCUGCCGAGCGGCGGCGCGGCCGGGCCGCCCUCCGCGCCGCUGUCCGAACUGCACGCGCAGCUGUCGGGAGUGGAGCAACUGCUGGAGGAGUUCCGUCGGCAGCUGCAGCAGGAGCGGCCGCAGGAGGAGCUGGAGCUGGAGCUGCGCGCGGGCGGCGGUCCCCAGGAGGGCUGCCCGGGCCCGGGCGGCGGCGGCUACAGCGCCAUGCCGGACGCCAUCAUCCGCACCAAGGACUCCCUCGCGGCCGGCGCCAGCUUCCUGACCGCGCCGGCGGCCGUGCGGGACUGGCGGCAGUGCGUGGCGGCCUGCUGCUCGGAGCCGCGCUGCUCCGUGGCCGUGGUGGAGCUGCCCCGGCGGCCCGCGCCCCCCGCCGCCGCGCUCGGCUGCUACCUCUUCAACUGCACCGCCCGCGGCCGCAGCGUUUGCAAGUUCGCGCUGCACCGCGGCUACAGCAGCUACAGCCUGAGCCGCGCCCUGCAGGGCGCGCAGGAAGACCCGGACGCCUCGCCUCCCAUGGAAAAGGAUGAGCCUCCACUCAGCAAGGCUGGACAGGAUGUGGUUUUGCACCUGCCUACAGAUGGAGUGGUUCUGGACGGCCGUGAGAGCACAGACGACCAUGCCAUAGUCCAGUAUGAGUGGACAAUGUUGCUGGGUGACCCAUCAGUGGACAUGAAGGUACCUCAGUCAGGAACCCUGAAGCUGUCCCACUUACGGGAAGGAACAUAUACCUUUCAGCUCACUGUGAUGGACACUGCUGGACAGAGAAGCUCUGACAACGUCUCAGUGACAGUGCUGCCCAUGACCUUCUCCACAGGAGGUGAGAGGAAAGUCCUUCCUUUGCAUUCACAACGGUCGACAGAAACCAGCUACUUACAGAAAGAUGGAUGCUCGAACGUUUGCUCACGCCACCACUUCUCUUGUGAUGACGGCUGCUGCAUUGACAUCAUGCUGGCUUGCGAUGGAGUGGAGCAGUGUCCUGAUGGGUCCGAUGAGGCUUUCUGUCAUAAUUUGAGCCUUGACCGGAAGACGGUGACCCACACAGCAACUGCCCAGCCUAGAAUCACAGGACCAAUCAAAGAUGUAGCAGGAGGCUCCUUCUUGGAAAAGUCCCAGAAAGUGACUGUCCCAAACCAGCCACUGGUGGUAUCAAACACAGAGAAGAGGAAUCAUUCCACUUUUUGGGGACCAGAGAGUCAGACUGAUCCUGUGAUGCCAGAUAGUGGUUCCUCAGGGAAGAACAGAAAAGAAAAAAAUUAUAUUUUUGAAUCAAAGAGCGAUCGAGGAGGAGGGGAACACCCAGCCCCAGAAACAGAGGGAAGCUUGUCCACGAUUUGCUGCUCAAACAUGUUCGUGUGUCUCACGUCUCUUCCUGAGAAAAGGCCCAUCUGAGCCACCUUCCAGAAAACUCAGAGCUUCUUUCCUCCCGUCUCUACAAGCAGACAACAGCCAGUCUCCAUCCUUCCAGAAGCUUGAAUGCCAGUCACUCGAGUAUCAGUUUCUAUCGAAGGUCCCCAGCAAAGACUGCACCUCACCCUCACAGAGCACCGCAAUCGGCUCUGGAUUCCUCAGGAAGAGGAGGACGGAAAGCUGGUGGGAAACAAGAGAAGGUUCGGAAGAAAGCAUGGGGAUGAGCUGUUACAUUAAUCUGGAAGAAGAUCCGAAAGAACAGAGAUCACCUCACCUGGCAAUAAAACUGAGGAGGAGCUUUUUAGAUGAUAAUUCCCAAAUGUGGGAUGAACACUCAGAAAAUGGCAAGCGACUCUUUUUAGCCACAUUCUAUCCUUACUACCACUGCCUUAAUUCAGGCCACCACCAUUUCACCCCUAGCUUGCUACAACCGCAUUCUGUUUCAGACUCUAGCUCUGUCCCUUUCCAAUCUACUCUCUACGCCACGGCCAGGGUCAUCUUUCUGAAACGUAAUUCUGAUCACCUCACGGUCUGGCUUCAACACUUCAAUUGCUCUCCUAAACACACUACACUCUAACUGGUUGUUUGUCUUCUUUAGAUUUGUUUGGAUCUCCCACAUGACUAGAAGUCCCAAGAGAAUGGUCGGUUUCACGUUCACAGCUGUGUAUCCAUGGCCCUAGUACAGUCCCUGGCAAUGCUGUUCCUGCUCUCAGUGGGUUCCAGUCAAACUGUUUCCUCCCCCUGUGGCCCAGCAUGGUAGGUCCCUGGUCCCUGGGUAUGUCAAGACCCUUCACUAUUCCCAUAACCUUGCCUGUAUUUCUUUGAUUCGUCCUUUCACUAAAAUCGCUUUAAAAAUCCCUAGCUGAGCAUACUUUCUAUUUUCUGCCUCAAUCCUGCCGGAGAGUUUAAGAAUACAAAUAGAAACGGUGGAUUAAUGGUCUCUUUCGAUUUUCAGUUAACUGUUGUUUUACCCUUUCAAACAUCUUAUUUUCUAGUAAUUUGUUUCAGCACAAAUUUUUUUCAAUGUGGCAGUUGUUUUUUUUUUCCAAUGCUGUUUUCAGCAUUCACCUUCACAUUCUAUAAACCUACACUCUUGAAAGAUUUACAAUUAAGUAACUGAUUGUCUUUGUAAAACUAUAUCUUGGGGGGCACCUGGCUGGCUCAGUUGGUAGGGCAUGCGACUCCUGAUCUUAGGGUCAGGAGUUCAAGCCCCACAUUGGGCACAGAACUUACUUAAAAACAAAAACAAAAUCAAACUACAUCUUUGGAUGUAGGAAAAACGUGUCUGAACAAACAACAUUUACAACAGAAAGAAUUAAGAAGUCUUUCUAGUACAACUAGAGAAAUGCCUCCAGUGAUACAUACAUGUAAAAUUGCUCAAUCUUUUAAAAAGUUGAAGACCGAAAAGAAAAACAGACAUAUAUAUAUCUACAUAUUUGGUAAAUGACUAAAUAUUUGCCCAUAAAUUUAAAAGUUAUUCUAACUUUAAUAUAAAUAGUUCAGUUUUAUAAAGGGUAAAUAUAGGUGUUGUGGAAACCUAGAGUUUAUAUGACCUGGGAAGAGGGAAGAACCUCUUCAUGAAGGAAAAAAAAAGAGGACUAAAAACAAGACUGCCCAGAAAACUGGGAGGACCAGGAGAGACCCUAAGCACGUGAAGGCCCUGAAGCUUAAGUGUCACGAGCUUCAUGCUAAACCCACCUCCGCUUAUUACAGAAACAAAAUAACUUUUUGUAAUUCCUUCAUCAUCAAAUUGACAGUAGAAUGUUCAAUACUAACAUUUAUUGUGUGUAAAAGAAAAAAUUUAAAUUAUUAAUGAAAAUCUGAACUCUUACUUGGUAGCAAAUGUCAGUGAGCUCAGUGAUAUGUUUGCCCCUUGUGUAUAGCAGCAAAAUCAUACUGUUAUGUAACAAGAUAACCAUCCUAGAAGCAAAGUCGAGGAAGUCUGUAAUUAGUUGUUAAAAACUGUAUGAUUUUAACUGGCAAGACUCAUAGCUUUUUAAUUUCUUUUUUUAAAGCAGUGGCCGUGCUCCAGGUUAAAAUUCAAAGAAAAGAGCUAUAUCCAUAUUAAGUGAAGAAUGAAAUGCAAUUCCUAGUAAGACAUCCCAGAAAUGGCCAAUCGGAGUUUAAAGAAAAACUCAGUUUUGAACAAACGGAGUUAGAUGACCAUUUUUGCAAUCAAACAUUUAUUCAAAAAGUGUCUUUCCACUUUCCAUAAGACAAGAUUGAGGUCUAUUAAACUUACAAUCACCAUUUUACUCACUAAAAAAAUAAAAAUAAUUCUUUAAAAAUAAGUACCCCUGUCAAAAAAAAAAAAAUCCUAAAACAAGGAAACUGUAAAGCCUUUCUUAUUUAGACAUUUAAUUUUAAAUAGUCUUAGCUAGUGUCACUCUUAUCGAUUUCACUCCUUCCCACUGGAGGACGUGGGGAGGGGAAGGGAGAAGAAGGAGAGAGGAAGAAGAGAAACCUGGGCUUCAAACAAAAUAUUCAGAUUAUGCAGAGACACAAAACACAAGUAGGCAUUAUAAUGAGCCAUGCUGUACUGAAGAUUAUGCCGCAUGCUGUUGGCCCUUUGGGUGGGUUUGUGAGACCUGGGCACUCCCUUUGAGCUUAGAGAAUCCCCCCACCUCCCCAGGAACUCAGAGUGGCUUUAAAAUGCGCUGGCCAGUUCUAUAGACUGGGAGAAGUUUAUGCCUUAUAGUGGCUCUGAAACAGUAGCUGAAUGUAAAACAGGCACAGGUUGUCAGACAGAAUGUCAAUGAACCUGACUGAAAGAGAGAAAGCAAGCUGAGAGGAACAAUGUCCUCUCUGGGAUUCUGACACCUUUGAAAACUGGGACAAGAGUAUCUUUUCCCUUCUUUCUCUUUAUGACUAUGGUACAACAGGGGGUGGAAGGGGCAGGAAAUGAUGGCCCCUUCUCUUCAGACCAAAGCCUUUGUUUCCAUGAUCAUACAGCAGUUACAAAAAUGAUCUGUGAAUAUAGAAAAUUAAUGGCUGAUAAUAAAUUAUCCUUAGAAAGUUCUGAACAGUGGCUAAAAGCCUCUUUGGAAAAAUUAAAAAAUUAAAAAACCAAGAGAAAGGAAAAAAACCCACCUUCGUGCCAACCAAGUCUCACCCCCCUUUCCCAAAGAUAUGAGUUAAACCAAAAGAAGGGCACACUCAUGCGAAGUUUGUCUAGACUUUUAAUGUAGUGAAUUUCUGAUGUUAGAAUGGAGUAGCAUAAAGGUGACAACCAAAAAAGCAGCCUUGUGGUCUAAUGUCUUAGAAUCCACACCCUUCACCUUGCGUGUGUGGAAGAAGAAAGAGCAGAAGAUAAAAUCACUUCCACCUGGCCCACUGCUUCUCUUUAUCUGUUAAAGGCACGUAGAUCACUCCCAUCAGGGGCUUCAUCUUGACACUGCCGUCCUGCAGCUUGUCGUACUGCUCCAGCAUCUGGUUGCCACCUGCGGGGCCGACCGGCAGUAUCAACCUCCCACCAGGCUUUAACUGGUCUAUCAGCUAAAAGAAAAAGACACGCCAAAUUACCGAUUUUACGUUAAGACUCACUUUACUACACUAUAAACAACUUCCCGCGUCCGUGGGCAGAAAGCAGAAAUGUGCUUUAUUUAGUACAUACAUACUUCGACUGUUAAACUUAUUACUCAAUUACCCAUCGACCUCCUCUACUAAACUACCAGUUCUCUGAUGACAGGGACUGUGAUCUUAUCUGUCUCUGUGCCCUUUGGCAUCUAACAUAGGACGCAGUACAACUGCAGGGCUCACAAUGUUCAAGCUGAACCGCGUAAGCAGAACCAUCCUCUCUUGGGAAGAUCAAAGGCAAAGUAGGAAAUUUCAGUGCCUGUUUUGAAUCUUUGUGGUCUGGAGUGGGGAAGGAAGUGGGCAGUGCAGAAAAUCAGCAAGGAAUUCCUAUUCUGACACUGCAGAAUUUAGGGCAUCACGGAGCUGAAAACAAGGAGACCUCGGUUUCACGACUGAAUUUAGGAUUACUGGCACCAUGACAAAGGAAGGUAGGGCUGGAGUUCCUGAAGCAUUAGAAUGAGGACACCUUGUCAAUGAAAAACCAAGAGUACUCAGUGAAAGCCCUUUUGGUCAGAAAACAUUUAAACCCUAUGUUACCAUUUGAAUGUAGCCUUCAAAUGACCAGUAAUCAAACAUGGUAAGGAAGAAACUUUACUUUGGAUAGUAUCAUCUCUCUCCUGGACCAGAUGUCCUACCUUCUGAGAUCUCGUGGCUUCCUCUUUUUGAUUUUUCCUACUGUCUCUCUCUUCCCUCACUUUUUGAUAUUAUUAAAGUGAUUCCUCUAGAAGUAUUCUGUGAAACAGUGCACAGAGUAUUUUAAGAGAGAGAAUGAGAUCUUCAAGUCCAAAACUACCUUUAUUUUACAUAUUUGACAAUAUGUGAGUAUAGAAUUCAAGGCUGGAAGUCAUUUUCAGUUUAGAUUUGUGAUGGUUUGUUCUUCUGACUUGUUGAUUCUUUUAAGCUCACUUAUUUAUUUUGAGGGAGAGAGAGCGCAGCAUGUGCCUGUGCAUAGUGUAGGGGCAAAGAGGGAGACAGAAUCCCAAGCAGGCUCCAUGCUAGUGUAGAGCCUGACACGGGGCUUGGAGCCGACCUCAAGAGUCAGACACUCAAUGGACUGAGCCACACAAGUGCCCCUGACUUGAUUCUAAUGCUGCUGUUCUGCAGUCUGAUACCUUUCUGAUUAAUCGUUAACAGAUUAUGUUCUAUCUGGAAGCUUUUAGAAUAUCCCUGAUAUUCUAGCAUUUCACGGUGAUAUUACGGUUCCAUUUUUCCUCUCUUUUUUUUUAAAGUUUAUUUUUUUUAAACUUCUUUUUUUAUGUUUAUUUUUGAGAAGGAGAGACAGAGACAGAGCAUGAGCAGUGGAGGGGCUGAGAGACAGGGAGACACAGAAUCUGAAGCAAGCUCUAGGCUCUGAGCUGUCAGCACAGAGCCCAAUGUGGGGCUUGAACUCACGAAGGGUGAGAUCAUUACCUGGGCCAAAGUCAGACACUUAACUGAGACCCCCAGGUUCCCCUAAAGUUUAUUUUGAGAGAGACAGCAAGCAGGGGAGGGACAGAGAGAGAGGGAGAAAGAGAGAAUCCCAAGCAGGCUCUGCACUGUGAGAGCAAAGCCCGAUGCGGGGUUCCAACCCACGAACCACAAGAUCAUGACCUGAGCCAAAACGAAGAGGUGGAUGCUCAACUAACUGAGCCACUCAGGCACCCCUCCCUUUAAAAGAAAAAAAACAAACACAUCAUACUGGGCACUCAACAGACUUUUCAAACUAUAGAAUACUGUCCUUCAAUUCUCGGAAAUUUUCUUACUUAAGGCUUCGCACUAAUUGUUCCUCAUACAGAAAUUUCAAGCAGCAGCCCCUUUUUUCAGACCCAUGCUUCAUCUGUGAUUUCCAAGGUCCUGAUGCCUCCAAUUUCUAAGCCCUUUCAAAGUUCUGCAGAGUAGGGGCACCUGGGUGCCUGAGUCAGUUAAGUGUCCAACUUCGGCUCAGGUCAUGAUUUCACUGUGUGAGUUCGAGCCCCAUGUCAGGCUUUACGCUGACAGUUUGGAGCCUGGAGCCUGCUUUGGAUUCUGUGUGUGUGUGUGUAUGUCUCUUUCUCUGCCCUUCCCCUGCUUGUGUGCUCUCUCUCUCUCUCUCUCAAAAAUAAAUAAAACUUAAAAAAAAAGAAAAAAAGCUCUGCAGAGCAAGCUGCUUCAGCAAUGAUUCCCUCUGCAGUCUCUUUAGUUCAACUUCCUCCGCCCUCCUGACUCAGUUAUUACUCCAUCUGCUUUCUAUCUGCACAUGCCACGGGGCUCAGGAGUGCAGGUGCAAUCUCCUAGGUGAUAAUGAAAUAUGGACUUUGUGUUUCUGUUUCUUGUUUCUCCAGUUGUUUUGGGGUGAUAUACAAGAAAAGGCAUAAACGUCUUUUCUGUUAUCUUGAAACUGGAAAGCCCCUCCCUCCAGAAUGUCUCUCUUUAAUCAGAUAUAUAAAAACCCCUAUAACGCUUCCCAGUGCUACUGCAAACAUUUAAUUCCUAUUGAGCUAAAGCCAUAAACGCCCUUGGAGAUCAUCUCUGGGUCUUAGUGGGGAAGAUAAGCCCUGUGUUUAAAUACAGUUCUAUUUCACAUUUUAAUUGUUCUUAUUAGGCUGCCUUAUAAAUAAAUAAAUAAAUAAAUA